rnacentral:rRNA from 1 species
UGGGGAAUCUUGCGCAAUGGCCUAACGACUGACGCAGCGACGCCGCGUGUGGGAGGACGCCUUUCGGGGUGUAAACCACUGUUGCCCGGGACGAACAGCCGUUUUCGAGCGGUCUGACGGUACCGGGUGAGGAAGCACCGGCUAACUCCGUGCCAGCCGCCGCGGUAAUACGGAGGGUGCGAGCGUUGUCCGGAAUCAUUGGGCGUAAAGGGCGCGUAGGUGGCCCGGUCAGUCUUUGGUGAAAGCGCGGGGCUCAACCCUGCGUCGGCCAGGGAUACUGCCGCGGCUCGAGCACUGUAGAGGCAGGCGGAAUUCCGGGUGUAGCGGUGGAAUGCGUAGAGAUCCGGAAGAACACCGGUGGCGAAGGCGGCCUGCUGGGCAGUUUCGCUGACACUGAGGCGCGACAGCGUGGGGAGCAAAC